rnacentral:rRNA from 1 species
UCGGGAAUUUUGGGCAAUGGGGGGAACCCUGAUCCAGCAAUGCCGCGUGUGUGAAGAAGGCCUGAGGGUUGUAAAGCACUUUCAGAGGGGAGGAGGACUAUUAGGUUAAGAGCUAGAUAGUUGGACGUUACCCUCAGAAGCAGCACCGGCUAACUCCGUGCCAGCAGCCGCGGUAAUACGGGGGGUGCAAGCGUUAAUCGGAAUGACUGGGCGUAAAGGGCGCGUAGGUGGAUGCGUAAGUAAAUUGUGAAAGACCCGGGCUUAACCUGGGAAGGUCAAUUUAAACGGCGUAUCUAGAGUGGAGUAGAGGGAAGUAGAAUUUCCGGUGUAGCGGUGAAAUGCGUAGAUAUCGGAAGGAAUACCGGUGGCGAAGGCGUCUUCCUGGACUCUAACUGACACUGAGGCGCGAAAGCAUGGGGAUCAAACAGGAUUAGAUACCCCCGUAGUCCCUGAGCGGGCUGGCAAGGCGCAU